rnacentral:tRNA from 3 species
GGGGCUAUAGCGCAGUUGGUAGCGCACCUCAAUGGCAUUGAGGGGGUCAGGGAUUCGAGUUCCCUUAGCUCCA